rnacentral:rRNA from 1 species
GACGAACCGUGCGAACGUUGUUCGGAUUCACUGGGCUUAAAGGGCGCGUAGGCGGGCGGUCAAGUCGGGGGUGAAAUCUUUCCGCUUAACGGGAAGCAUGCCUCCGAUACUGAUCGCCUCGAGGGAGGUAGGGGCAUGUGGAACUUCCGGUGGAGCGGUGAAAUGCGUAGAUAUCGGAAGGAACGCCGGUGGCGAAAGCGACGUGCUGGACCUCUUCUGACGCUGAGGCGCGAAAGCUAGGGGAGCAAACGGG